rnacentral:rRNA from 1 species
CGGGUGAGUAAUGUAUGGGGAUCUGCCUGAUGGCGGGGGAUAACUACUGGAAACGGUAGCUAAUACCGCAUAAUGUCUACGGACCAAAGCGGGGGACCUCCGGGCCUCGCGCCAUCAGAUGAACCCAUAUGGGAUUAGCUAGUAGGUAAGGUAACAGCUUACCUAGGCGACGAUCCCUAGCUGGUCUGAGAGGAUGAUCAGCCACACUGGGACUGAGACACGGCCCAG